CUAAACGGCCGCGGCACCAAAACCGUGCAAAGGUAGCACAAUCACAUUGUCCCUUAAAUGAGGACCCGUAUGAAAGGCAACACGAGAGAAAACCUGUCUCCUAAGAUAAGCCAGUGAAAUUGAACUGCCAGUACAAAAGCUAGCAUGCUAAAGCAAGACAAAAAGACCCUGUGGAACUUUAAUUAGCCUGUUUACAAAACUAAACAGUAGUUUUAGUUGGGACAACUAUAGGAAAAAUUAACCUCUAACCGCUCUAAGACCAACAAGUCUAAGACACCAAAUGACCCAGUCACACUGAUUAAUGAAAUAAGCUACCCCAGGGAUAACAGCGCCACCUUCUCAAAGAGUCAAUAUUAACAAGAAGAUCUACGACCUCGAUGUUGGAUCAGGGCACCCCGACGGUGCAACAGCUGUCAAAGGUUCGUUUGUUCAACGACUAACGCCC
rnacentral:rRNA from 1 species